rnacentral:rRNA from 1 species
CGGGUCCUCGGGGGCAGCAGUGAGGAAUAUUGGUCAAUGGGCGCAAGCCUGAACCAGCCAAGUCGCGUGAGGGAUGACGGUCCUAUGGAUUGUAAACCUCUUUUGUCGGGGAGCAAGGCCCGCCACGUGUGGCGGGAAGGAGAGUACCCGAAGAAAAAGCAUCGGCUAACUCCGUGCCAGCAGCCGCGGUAAUACGGAGGAUGCGAGCGUUAUCCGGAUUUAUUGGGUUUAAAGGGUGCGUAGGCGGGAGGUUAAGGCAGCGGUCAAAUGUCGGGGCUCAACACCGGCCUGCCGUUGAAACUGGG